CUACGUGUGUCAGCAGUGGGGAAUAUUGGACAAUGGGCGAAAGCCUGAUCCAGCCAUGCCGCGUGUGUGAAGAAGGCCUUCGGGUUGUAAAGCACUUUCAGUGGGGAAGAAAGCCUUGGGGCUAAUACCCUCGAGGAAGGACAUCACCCACAGAAGAAGCACCGGCUAACUCCGUGCCAGCAGCCGCGGUAAUACGGAGGGUGCGAGCGUUAAUCGGAAUUACUGGGCGUAAAGCGCGCGUAGGCGGUCUGAUAAGCCGGUUGUGAAAGCCCCGGGCUCAACCUGGGAACGGCAUCCGGAACUGUCAGGCUAGAGUGCAGGAGAGGAAGGUAGAAUUCCCGGUGUAGCGGUGAAAUGCGUAGAGAUCGGGAGGAAUACCAGUGGCGAAGGCGGCCUUCUGGACUGACACUGACGCUGAGGUGCGAAAGCGUGGGUAGCAAACAGGAUUAGAUACCCGUGUAGUC
rnacentral:rRNA from 1 species